GAAAUGCGAUAAUUAAUGUGAAUUGCAGAAUUCAGUGAAUCAUCGAGUCUUUGAACGCACAUUGCGCCCCCUGGUAUUCCGGGGGGCAUGCCUGUCCGAGCGUCAUUGCUGCCCUCAAGCACGGCUUGUGUGUUGGGCUUGCGUCCCUGGCAACGGGGACGGGCCCAAAAGGCAGUGGCGGCACCAUGUCUGGUCCUCGAGCGUAUGGGGCUUUGUCACCCGCUCCCGUAGGUCCAGCUGGCAGCUAGCCUCGCAACCAAUCUUUUUAACCAGGUUGACCUCGGAUCAGGUAGGGAUACCCGCUGAACUUAAGC
rnacentral:misc_RNA from 1 species